GUCCGGCUUUAGAACUCUGCGGUUUUGUGGAGCUCGAGAGUCCGGGACAAGAUAUCUAUUGGAUGCUGAUGAUUAUGAAACAAAGUAGCAAAGAUAAGAAGCCAUUUGCUCAUUCUGCUCCUUUGCCAGCAAUAUUUCACAAAGCCCCUGACUCAUUGACUGUGAGCAGCCUUGUGGAAGAAUGCCUUGAAGACCAUAAGCAGGAUAGGGAAUAGGUUUGCACAUCUCUUGCCUGAAUCACUGAAUUUUUACAAAAGGUUCUUUUCAUUUCAAAGUGAAGAUUGCAUCACCACAUCUUUCUCAA
rnacentral:lncRNA from 1 species